UCAUAUAUAGAGAAGUUGGCUGCCUG
rnacentral:piRNA from 1 species